AGGGCAGUAGCUCUAACGGUAGAGCAGCGGUCUCCAAAACCGCGGGUUGGGGGUUCGAAUCCCUCCUGCCCUGCCA
rnacentral:tRNA from 1 species